UCAGACUUAACAAUGUUUAAUUCAUUCAAUUAAGUUUAGGAUUUUCUGCUGUUUAGAAAUCAGGAUCGGUCAAUUUGAUUUUUAAGUUGCGCAAACUGUGCUAAUGCUAUCCUUCAGUGAAAUUUAAUUUCCUAUGUGAGUCCCGAUUCCCAAGCAUGUGAAAUUAGCAUUGUUUGUUGGUUCUAAACAAUUUUCUAAUUAGUCAGACUUAGCGGUGUUAUCUUCAAUUCAGUUUAGUUUAGGCUUUUUGCAGCUCAGAAAAUCAGGAUCCGAUUUGAUUAGGCUCAUUUAAUUUGUGCUAACCCUAUUCUUCAGUGGAAUCCAAAAGGGAUGUCUCUACAUUGUAAUGGAUUUUAUUGUGCUGCUAUUCUUCAGUUGCAUUGCACCCCCGCGUCCACAAUUCAAAGUUGGUUCAGUUUAGACUUUGCAGAUCAUCAAAAAUAGGUUUCUUUUGCUGAUAAUUUUUCUUUACUGAGAACCAAAAACUACACCUGGACCACCAUUUACUAAGACUGGAUCUCAUUAUGGCUAUAUUACAACUCGGUAGUGUCUCAUUCUCACUGGCAUGUUAUUGUUUUACCAUGCUAAUGCAGGCGAUCUGAAGCAAGGAAAUGCUCAUGCCUAAAGACCCAAGUGGCACUAUUAUCAUGCCUCCCAAGUUUGAAAUGGGUGUGCGGUGAUUUGGGGAGAUGUAGGGGCGCUUGGUGCUGCCGAUUUGGGUAGUGCUCGGGUACAGCUCUGCCGCCUAGAGCUCCGCCGCCAGCGCAUUUUCAUGUGGCAUGUCCUUCGAUGUGGGCGACACCAUUGAAGGGCUACCCUCCCGGCGGAGUGGCAUGCGGGAAUUGUUUCUAGGUCAUCCUUCCUCGUCUGUUCCGGCAAAUAUACGGCCAUUAGGUGGAGGUGUUCCUCUGCUCGCCAACUGCAGGAGGCGAGCGAAGCUACAACGGAGCGGCAGAUUAGGGACUUGGGUCGCUGACCAACAAAAUCAACUCACUGGCAUUCUUCUCACUUACCGGUCAAAUCCUGAACCUGGAUUCUGCUAUUCUGCUUCAUAUUCUAUUGAUUUGGUAGGCUACAUCUACGUGGAUGCAUCAGCUCUGCUCCAUAGAUAUGGAUACGAAGUGUUCCGUGGUAAUGUUCUUCGAUAAUUUUGUGUUGCCAUUGCUCCCGGUCAGAAUAUUUUAUAAUUUAUUAAUGGUCAAUACUUAUCCAUCAAACUACAAAUUCUUUCUCAAGUGUUGCAGUUUAUAUGCUGAAACAAAAUGACAUCUACCUGGAUUUGGAUCUCUGUAAUCUUAAAUGAUAUGGAUUCCAGUAAUAAAUUAUUUAUGUACGGACUCCCCGAAUGGAAUUAGCAUUUGUUGUUCCAUAAAUUUAACUCUACAGGAGCACAUGAAUUAUACCAAUGAAGAACUUAGGAUAGAGGAAAUUAUAAUUUACUAAAGUUUUAAGGAAUUGCCUGUUGAUUUCUUCUUUCUCUUCCCUAGCGACCUCUCCUCCUCCACGGUGCUCGGCAGAGGCAGCACGGGCAGCCGCUGCACUACGCGAGAGAGCGUCCUCCUAGGCCGCAUCUGAGAGGAACCAGGACCUCGUGGUGAGGUGAGCCACAGCGGCAGUGCCCAUGCACCUGUGCCGGCGACCGCGGCUGCCCCGCCCCCGAGCAUCACCCCACCCCCUCCGCGAGGGAGAGGCGUGGUGGCGUUAAGGAGAGCUCUCCCGCCGUGGUGUCGCCCCUUCCUCCGGUGCCACCGUUGCCCUCCGGACCGUCGUCCUCGCGUUCGGGUACUCUCUCCCUAUAUAUAUAUAAUCCUCAUCAUAACUUUCUCACUCCCGGUUCUGUUUUAUGUAGUCUGCCCGGAAAAAUAGCCAUCACAUAAAAUACAUUACAUAGAUUUAAAACAUAUAUUUAGAAAUAUGUGCAGGUUUGGAUUUGAUAUGAACUGAAAUAACUAUAUUUGUCAUGGACUCCUGCCAUUAGUACAAAUGUCCUAUAACUAGCUCUGCUUUGAUUGCCAUGUAGUUUUACUAGCGUAAAUACUUGCUUUUGUUUAUGUACCCCCCCCCCCCUCUGGA